AGAGCAGACAUUAAUCAAGAAAACAAUGGAAGAAUUGUAAGACGGGUAUGGGCACCAAGGAAGGAAUAACCAAGAAGUGAAAGACACGUGUAAACAUGAGUGAUGAGUUGGUUAACCAUUAGUGAAGUUGGGCUAUGUACCUGGCACGUGAAGCCCUGGCCUGUGGCGUGGCCUUCCUAGUUCUGGCUUUAGUGAAGACCUCAAACAUUAAUGUUGGAAGGAUCAUUCAGAACCAUCAGCGUUUCUUAAGGCGGCUCUGUGGCGUUUGAAGCAAGACUUUUCCUCGUUUGCAGGACUGCCUCAGAAUUCCAUGAAAGUUUUUACCUAAUACCUUCCCAACUGAAGAAGACAGAAGCAGCAGCAGCAUGGAACUCACCUAGUCUCACCAGCUCCAAGUUGGCCUGAUAAUCAACAGAUCCCGGAGGACGCCAGCUCCUAAGUAAGCCCAGUCCUGUUUCCUGCCGCCUGCCCUGCUCUCUGGACCAUGGGGACGCCUGCACGCCUGCAGCUCACACCUGCACAGUCCGGAGCUCAGGUAUCCACAGGCCGAAAAGGAUUCUCUUGCUAAAGCAUCUCAGAGAAGGAAGGUAGCCAGGACUCAACAGCGGUGCUUUAAGACACACCUCCGGAUGGCAGGACCCUCCUGUGCACCAAGCCCCAGGACAGGCCUCUGCGUGACCUACCUCAGUCGGCA